rnacentral:rRNA from 1 species
UACGGAGGGUGCAAACGUUGCUCGGAAUCAUUGGGCGUAAAGCGCACGUAGGCGGUCUGUUAAGUCGGAUGUGAAAGCCCCGGGCUCAACCCGGGAAGUGCAUACGAAACUGGCGGACUUGAAUAUGGAAGAGGGUCGCGGAAUUCCCGGUGUAGAGGUGAAAUUCGUAGAUAUCGGGAGGAACACCAGUGGCGAAGGCGGCGACCUGGGCCAACACUGACACUGAGGCACGAAAGCGUGGGGAGCAAACAGG